AUAAUUUUAAAUUAAUUUAUAUAGUAAGUUUAGGAGUAUUUGAUAAUAAAAUAGUUUAAACAAAUAUCGAUAAUCACCAUCUUUUUUUUUAAAGAAAGUAUCACCCGUGCAGAAGAGGACAUAAAAAAAUAUUAUAUUUAAUGGCCUAAUUAAAACAAAUAUUAUUCUUGAUAUGGUCAGUUUAAUGUAUAAUACCAAUGGCUAAAUUUUAACAAAAUUUACACUUCAAUAACUUUUAUCCUUAUUUGCAUAGCUAGUCUAUAAUACAUGUAUACAUCUUGUACCCACCCAAGCGUUCAACAGAAUACUGAACAUAACCAGAGCUCCAGAUAAGGUGCAUAUCAGCGUAAAUACUCAUUAAAUUUUACCAAAUACACAUUAGGCCAUGCCAAUUUGUAAUCUAGUUCGUCGGAUUCGCCGCUUCUAUUUGUAAUAAAUCCAAAUCAUAAUAUUAUCAAAAAAUAAUAUCCACCCGCGUGUUCAAAAAUAUCCGUAAUUUUUCUCUCGAGUUUUUACAACAAGCGCACAAAUGACCUUGAUGUAUGUGCUGACAAAUGACAGAAGCGCGGGCUGUCGAGAAAUUUCCUAACAGUGUAAUACGGUUAUUCAUGGUGUUUAUCUUAAUAUGUACGAUACUUCAUAACACUGGAUUGGAAGUUGUUCCUUAUGCUGGAAUCGAACUGGAAGCCGAUGAAACUUUUGAAGCGCUAUUCGAUGCCAUUAUUUAGAAACAUCGACAGCGUAUGAUUGAUUGUUUGAUUAUAUAUUGACUUAAGUCUCUCUUGAGAAUAUUUCACUCACAUAAAGACAUUACCAUUGCCGGUGAAGGUCUGCAAAAUUUAGGCCUAUGCUCAGCGCUUAUGGCACUUAGGGAUCUUUAUUGUGCCACACCUGCUGUGACAAGAAUCUCAGUUUUUGCAGUCCUAUCUGAAGGACCGCCCCAUUUAUUCGCCUCUUACAACAAGCAAGGGGUACUGAUCGAGGACUAUUAUAAACCGGACUGACAGUUAACGACAAAUUCACAAAAGGUUUGGUGAUGUCCUAUCAAAAUUCAAGAAAAUGCUCAAAGCGAUGCAAUGGAGAUUGCAAUGAUUAUGUCAAAACUGGAUGUGUCCCUACCAAUAUGCAUAUCUCUGAAUCGAAAGUUUGUAGAAAUGGAACUUAAAUAAAAUUCUUCAAAAAGACCUUAUCAGUUAAUGUUGCAAAGUACAUGUAUUAGGUAUAAAGAAAAUAAGUCUGAAACCUGAAAUACUUCUUAUUUAUUGUAAACUAUAUCAACAAAGUUGAAAAAUAUUUAAGUUUAUGUGGUAAACAAAUGAUAUCUGAUGAUUUUAGAUCUUUAUUUUUAGGCGCCCGCUUUUUAAAAUCACACUUUAUUCAAUUAAAAAUAUUUAUAUUUCUUGUAUUCGCUCGCCUCAUAAUUUUUAUCUCCAAAAUUAAAAAUAAUAUUUGUAAAAUAAUUUCGCCCUCUCGCUUCACUUUUUUUGUUUGAAAAUCUGAAGAACUAUUUUACAAAUUGGUGUGGCCUUAAAGUUUAAAAUCAGGUGUACAGUUAUGCAUUCGCGAAUGUAAAUACGCUUUACACUCCUAAAGUAAUGCGGAGAGGUAAUUAAAAAACAACUGUAUUUAAGCCUAAUUGUUAUAUUUCUUUCUUAAAUAAACAGGUUAUGGGUGCGGUCAAAAGCACACAAAAACUUAUAUGUAUUAUCAAUUGUAAAUGAUUGAUUGUUGCUACAGACAAUGCACAGAAUAUGGUACCGGACAAACGAUAUAUACUUCUUCUGUUAAACUUACUAAGUUUUUACUGAAAGGUCGCUAACUAUUUGAAAGUAUUUGCAAGAAUGGGAGUCACGCAUGUAUUUACCGACUUCCAUCACACAUGCACUUGUUUUACAAAGAUGGAGAAAACCAAUUCUUGGUUAACGGUACAAGGUGAGGGGAAUCCGACAGUAAUUUGUAAUGAAAACAAAGUGCAAAAAUAUAUAUGGGCAUGGUCCUAAAUAUCCAUUAAGAAGUAUUUAAAAUCGGCCCAAGAAUGCCACCUUCAGCUGGAGGCGGAGAAUUUCCAGUUUACAUAAUGGCACCAGUUCUGACGUUUUCCUGGCACGGUAAAUAUCAAAAUCAUAAAAAGCCAGGAAAACGUCAGCUAUUUCGGACUAAUAUGGGCAGAGUUACGUUCGUCUAAAUUUUAAAAAAUGCUAUAGAAAGUCACAAAAACUUUAGACUUUGAAACUGAUAUUUUUGGUUUAAAAUGCUUUUAGUUUCUCGGUUAUACUUGUAAACAGUUUAAUUUACAAUAUGACAAAUAGUUGUGUUGUUUGUUUGGUGUUUAUGAUUUUUUUUCAAUACUGUACUAUAUCCAUUUUGUUCUCAAUCUAUAUAUGUUACAUGUAUAUAUUUAUAUAUAGAUUGAGAACAAAAUGAAUAAGAAGCCCCUGUGGUACAAUAAAUGAUUGUAUACUUAUGAGUGAAUAUCCUUUGUAGUUCUUUUUAUUAUACACUCUUCAUUGUCAUUGGGAUUUGUUGAGGUAUUUAAUUUUGAUAUGUCAGACACUCGAUCACAUAAUAUCUUAUUAUAUUUAGACUAAGUGAUCAAAUUCUGUAUUCUGGCAAAUAGUAAAUUUACAAGUCAAAAUACUCAAAAUUUUGACUUUUUCUGAAAAGCAAAAUACUCAUUGGUUUGAAAAUCGGAGGUAAAUACUCAUUGUGGUAAAAAAUUAUCUGGAGCUCUGCAUAACUCCAUCACAAAAGAGCCGAUAUCUCGGAAGUUGAUAAUUGUGCAAAUCCUCUCGCCCACAUGGCGAGUAAAAAGUUCACUGGAACUUUCCAGAAUCCACUCGUGGUUUGACUUAACUUUUAAAUGCACUUUUGUUUUCAUUGUUUGUUAUCAAUAAAAUGCUUUAUAAACAUUAAGGCGAGUCCUUGAUCAUGUGGAAAUUCAUUGAUUAAUUUUUCUAAUCUUCUAACCCUGUUCAAAAACACAAAGACUGUUUUUCCUAAUUUUAAAGAAAAUGAUCAUGUAAUUUUUCUUCAAAAUGGGCAGUGCAUGGUUAGUAAAUACUGACACAGUAGAGGUAGUGUUAUAGAGGCUGAUGUUGGGAGAGAGAAUAAUGAGGACAAAAGUUUACAAAGAGAGAAUGUUGUCAAUGAAAGUAGUGAAAAAGAGAAUGAACAUUCACAAAAGGAGCCUGUAGAGUGUAGGAGUGAGACUGAAAGCGAAUAUGAUAGUGAGAAUGCAGGGACAGUGGAUGAGAGUUUGAAUAAACUUAAAAUGGGAAUGAUAUGGUAUUGACUAGUGUAAUAAAACAGCAUGUUAUUGUCCAGUGAUUUUUUUUGUUUUUCAAACUACCACCCCUCCUUUUGAAUUGGGAAAAAUUAGCAACAUUUUCCUCCAAUUGGGAAAAAUCAUUCACAGUAAAUUAAAAUGGUAAAGAUGCAUAAAAUAAUAAAUAACAAUUUUUUGUUUGAGAUUUAUUUCAGAUCUGAUUUAAAAUCAUAAAAUAAAUCAUUAUUUAACAUUAAAUAUGUAUUGGAAGUCACACCUUGUGUAUAUAUUAUUUACUUUUUCUAAGAAAUACUUAUUGUCUAAUUUCAUAAAGAAAAUAAUAAAUUAUCAAUUCACCAGCAUUUGUACCCAUAAUCUUGUAAAUAUUAUAUUAAUAAUCAAGUUUCCAGAAUGUCUCUCCUGUUUUGUAUUUUUCGAAUUUUAGCAAAACCCUAUACUGUUGGCCACUUCCUGUUAUUAGCCUGACCCUACAAAAAAUGGCGGUCAAAAUAAAUUAAUUUGUAAACAAUAUAGCUUAAUGUGCAUCUGGAAGCUAUAUACUUCGCUGCAUAUCUGCUAAUAUGGAUGCCUCUAUUGUUUUACAUAUUCUUUACAAAACCUUUUGCAUGUGCAGUGGUUUGGUGAAUAAAACUGAAGAAAAAAAAACGUAUUUACUCUGUCAGAAAUAUACGGUAACCUUUUUUUUUUUAAAUGGCCUAAUUUCCCUAGAUUUGAAAUUGGGGAAAACACAUAUAUAUAAUUGGGAAAAAAUAGCUAAUUUUAGUGAGGGGAAACAGCCGAAUAUCAGUGGCAUUUUAGCCCCAAAAAAAUCACUGUUGUCAUAAGAGUAAAUAUUCUUUUUAUAGACAACUUUAUGAUAGAAUUGUUAUUUGCAACUAUGCAGGUCCAGUCCAAAGACUAUUUCUACCUACAUACCCUAUUAAUAGCCACGUAGGUAUUUAAACCCACUUAAAGUAGCUACCUCUACCUACUUUUACCCAUUUUUGAAAAUAUAAAUGAAUAAUAAUUAAGGUGCAUCUUUUAAACAGGUCAGUCGUUUUAUGUAUCAUGUUGUGCAUGUGCAUGGCAAAAUUCGGAGUGUAAAUUUGAAUACUUUACGAGGGCGGAGAAUGUAAAGGAAAUGCAUGAAAAUUUGUCCCAAAAACCUUUACUGUAAAAAUGCAUGAAGGUAAAAUUAAUACAGAUUUGUAAGACACUCAGACUUUUUAUGAUGUAGCUAUGAGUCUAAGCUCCUACAAAAUCAAACUGGGUGCUGUUAUUGAUGCAAAUUUGAAAGGUUAGAAAGACACUGAAAUCAACUCAGAUUUACCUGUAAAAGCAAUCUACGCUUGAGUAACUUUGUGACCUAAAUUCAGACCCAAUGUGAUUCUUGGCUGACCAAAUUGUAAAGUCUAUUGAUCAAUCCAGCAGGCAAUUCAGUGAUUCAGAUUGGCGUCGGCCAUCGGCAAAUGGCCGAUAAAUAUUGAAAACUGCCGACUAAAAUUCUCCAGAAAGGCCAACAUGGCCUAUGAAAUUUUCGUUUUUCAGUGUUUAUCGGCCACAGGAAAAUAACCACUAUCUGUCUUGGUUUGUCAUAAUACAAGUACUCAAUCGAUCGUUUGUAAAGAAGAUUUUGAUUGGUUUUCGAAAAACUUUCCGUCCAAUCAAAUUACUUUGAGAAAAAAAUUAAUUGGUGCCCCUGUUCAUCUCGCUUGUGUUUGCAACAAUCAGCGGGGAACUAGUUUUUUUAGAAAAAAUAUGGCUUCAAGAGAGUCCGGUUUGAUGAUCAUGAUUGGCAACAAACCCUAUUAAACAUAAGCUCAGUGCUCCGUAACUAGGAGGUCAUGACUUAGAGUCCCGCUCGUUCCAUAGCCGCAUCAAACCUAGGAAGUAAACAUGAUUAGUGAUUACUCCUUCGCCAAAUGCUUGUCAUUUACUAGAUUUAGAAGUGAGAAUCAGGGUCCUUCGGAUGCAACCUUAAAAACGGAGGCGAUGGCACGAUAAAGAACCCUCACUGCUAUGGCCCUGAGCGCUCAGCAUUAUAGGUCUAAAUUUGUGAUACUUCAUCUACAACUGGUGACGUCUCAAUUAUCGACAGGAUGAAAAACAAUCAAACAAUAACAACAACAAACAACACCUUGCAACUCAGAAACGACCGAGAAGAAUUCCGAAACAGUUAACUGCAGUCACGAUAGUUAAACUGAAGAAUUAAAUAAUAAAAAGUUAGUUUAAUUUUAAAGUUUUAAGUUUAUUUUGAAGCAUCGCUUCAUAUGUAUUCAGGGCCUAAAGUUUUCAUGGAGUUAGACCAAAAUGGCCUAUAAUUUUUGUAUCAUUUAGGCCCUCUGUCCUAUCAAAUUGCAUUCCAAUAUGAAAACUCAACCAGUCUUUUGUAAUUCGCUGUAAAAUGAUACACCACAAUGGGCCACACCUAGUGUGAAAUAUCUGACGUUUUCAUGGCUUUUUUGAUUUUGAUAUUUACCGUGCCAGGAAAACGUUUUCCUGGCACGGUAAGUAUCAAAAUCAUUAAAAAAAAAAAAAAACCAGGAAAGCGUCAGAUAUUUUGGACUAGGCCACACCACGAGGCCGAAGCACGGCUGAUCGACUUAAGUUAUACUUGCCUCAAAACAAAUGCGGCCUGCCGGCUUCUUGUCUAUUGUGACAUCAAAGAAACAUUGAGGAUUUGACAUGGUCGAUAGUCGCCUGACAAACCCCGUAAAAACUCUUUUGAAUAAAAUGGUGCCGGUUGUUUUGACUCACGUGCAGAUAAAUGGUGGACUAUAUGAAGGUUGUGCUAAUGAC